AACCAUGCCGUUAGCCAUUGUUAGCAGCUAGCUAGCGUUAUCUUGAUAACAUCUAAGUCCUGUCUUCAACGCGAAUUAAACGCUGCCUGGUAUUAUGCUGCUGCCCCGCUGUAAGAACCUGGAGAUUUUCACUGAGGGAGGUGACCUGGCCACAAACAGUGCCUGGGACUCAUUCCAGUGCUACCGCUGUCUAGAGAACAGCCAGGGGGUGGUCAAGACAUCCGGCACAGCUUCAUCUUCAGUGUGUCAGCUCUGCUGCACCUGGGAGCUAAAGAUGGCUCUGGGUUGCUGAUGAAAUCUGAUCUGAUGAAACUCCCUAUACGAUUUGACCCCUGUAUUACAGACUGUAAAACUUUCAAUGCCAAAUUGAAAUCAUUCAAUAUUCUGUAAUUGAUAGACAAGGAUGGUUCCCAAUCAGCCAAUUACUAUACAUCAAAUCUGUUUCUCAGUGCAAUGUUUGGUGAAUGCAUGGCAUUGUUUUUUUAACCUCAGUCCUCCUUUGAAUGCUGUGUAUACUGACUCAGUUCUAAACGACCAUCAUUGAGUCCAUCCUCACCUCCUCGAUCACUGCAAUAAUUGGCCGGUCUGCUGAGAGGGUUAUUGGCUGCCGCCUGCCCUCCAUUGACAUCUUGCAUGACUCCAGGGCAAGGAACCGUGCAGGAAAGAUCAUCGCCGACCCCUUCCACCAACUCUCACCUCUACCAAAUGGUUCAGGUCAAUCACGAUGAUUCUCUCGUCUAUGGACUUUGCACCAUCAUCCCAGAACUGCACAUUGCUCUUUGCACUCUCUGCAUAUCGCUUACAUGCAUCAUUUAUCAUGUAGCUUAUAGUUUAGUCUAAAGUUUUGUGGAAAUUCUGAGUCUAUAUAUUUUGUCUGUUUAUUGAGGCAACACCAUUUCCCAGAGUCAAAUUCCUGUACAUGCAAAUAUAUUUGGGGAAUAAAGCUGAUUCUGACAUGUUUA